rnacentral:rRNA from 1 species
UGGGGAAUAUUGGACAAUGGGCGAAAGCCUGAUCCAGCAAUGCCGCGUGAGUGAUGAAGGCCUUAGGGUUGUAAAGCUCUUUUACCCGGGAUGAUAAUGACAGUACCGGGAGAAUAAGCCCCGGCUAACUCCGUGCCAGCAGCCGCGGUAAUACGGAGGGGGCUAGCGUUGUUCGGAAUUACUGGGCGUAAAGCGCACGUAGGCGGCUUUGUAAGUUAGAGGUGAAAGCCCGGAGCUCAACUCCGGAAUAGCCUUUAAGACUGCAUCGCUAGAACGUUGGAGAGGUAAGUGGAAUUCCGAGUGUAGAGGUGAAAUUCGUAGAUAUUCGGAAGAACACCAGUGGCGAAGGCGACUUACUGGACAACUGUUGACGCUGAGGUGCGAAAGCGUGGGAGCAAACAGGAUUAGAUACCCUGGUAGUCCACGCCGUAAACGAUGAUGACUAGCUGUCGGGGCUCUUGGAGUUUCGGUGGCGCAGCUAACGCGUUAAGUCAUCCGCCUGGGGA